AACUCUUCUCCCCCCGACCCAAACCCCAGCCCCGCCGCCGCCGCCGCGUAGACGCGAGGACGCACACGCAUCCGCUACCACCGCGGCCAUGGUCCUCUCCCACCGCCGCUUCCUCCUUCCACCCCGGCCUCUUUGCCAUCGGCGCCGUCGCACCACUGCCGGCCCCUGCUCGAGCUGGUCAGGCGGCGUGCAGAUCCGCCACUGCCACAGCGUCGUCGUCCUCCACAACCACGCAGCGGCUCCUCGCCCGCGACCCUCUUCUCCAGGUCAGGCUCGUGGGGAUGGUGAGUGACAAGGCGGGGAGGAACACGGAUCUAUCUCCCACAUCGACUUCAUCAGACUCGUCACUUGAAAUGUUGCUGGCUGUUAGUUCAAUAAUGCAAGCAAUUCAGUAAUGGGUCAGGGAUGAUUUUUCGUGAUGAUGGGGAUCCAUUCUUCUUCCAUGUUGACGCCUCCGGUCCUGCCAUGAUUCGUCUUGUCGUCCUCCCCGGCAUUCGCAUAGGUCAGGCUCGUGGGGUUGGUGAGUGACAAGGCGGGGAGGAACACGGAUCUGUCUCCCGCAUCGACUUCAUCAGACGGGAUGAUUUUUCGUGAUGAUGGGGAUCCAUUCUUCUUCCAUGUUGACGCCUCCGGUCCUGCCACGAUUCGUCUUGUCGUCCUCCCCGGCAUUCGCAUAGGUCAGGCUCGUGGGGUUGGUGAGUGACAAGGCGGGGAGGAACACGGAUCUGUCUCCCGCAUCGACUUCAUCAGACGGUGAGUUAAUUUCGGCAGAAGC